CUGGGUUAGGUCUAUCUGGGUUAGGUCUAUCUGGGUUAUGUCUAUCUGGGUUAGGUCUAUCUGGGUUAUGUCUAUCUGGGUUAGGUCUAUCUGGGUUAGGUCUAUCUGGGUUAAGUCUAUUAUAUUGUCUGUUAUUUUUAUCAGGUUCCUGACUCAUGCUUAGUAGGCAGAUUAAAGCUGCUGAAUGCAUAUGGACAGUACGGAUAUUCAAAGGGAAGAACAAGACAAGUGACAUUUGUUUCAUUUGGACAGUUAUUUGACAAAGGUAAGGGUCAUAGAAACGGCAGAAUAUGUUCUAUCUCAUACCACAUAGACAAUGUUUUACCUGCAUGUGAUUCCCGAAGGAGGAUUUGAUAAAGUGAUGCUCUUCCCCCCUCCCCUUUGCUUCUGUCAAUUACAAGAUGAGCCCAUCUCUUCAUGUACAAUGUUCACAAUUUAUAGGCAUAAUAUCGUGACUCUUCAGGUUAUCGUCAAAUGUAAUCUUGUCUAUAGGCUAAACCUUGUGUAAAAUGAGUUCCGGUACGGUUUGGAUGGGUCAGCUGACUGGCAUCACGUAGCAUGUUAUAUAUAGUUUAGAUGGGCCAGCUGACUGGCAUCACGUAGCAUGUUAUAUAUAGUUUAGAUGGGUCAGCUGACUGGCAUCACGUAGCAUGUUAUAUAUAGUUUAGAUGGGCCAGCUGACUGGCAUCACGUAGCAUGUUAUAUAUAGUUUAGAUGGGCCAGCUGACUGGCAUCACGUAGCAUGUUAUAUAUAGUUUAGAUGGGUCAG
ensembl:lncRNA